UGGCAUUUUGAUUUGGUCGCACUCUUUUGUUAUUGUUGAGAGAUAAACAUUUUGAUAAGCUCAUGAUUGAGAGAUAUUGGAGGUAUGGCUUUCAGAAGCAGUCGGUCCCCAACGAUGACACUUUGAUGGGAAGGGUGCAAUUCUGAAUAGCAGUAGCGGCGGGAGAUUUUUGGCGGUUGCACAACACGCGCACCAGUAGCGGCAGGUUUAAGAUGUCAGUCAGACCACCUACCGGAAAUAGCAACUAAAAAUCCCCCCAAAAAGGUUUGGUUGCCGCUUGAAAAUGGAUCUUGCCGUUUAUGGGUUUCCAAGAUUAUACUGUUUCGGCUUUUUGAUUGAAAAUGGUGCGAGAUUUUUAUUUCCUCCUCCCCCACCCCCCGUUUUACUACUUCCAAUGGAUUCCUUUUGACCGUCUCAAGCAAAGAUAUUUAUUCAUUCACGAGCGACACGGCAAGAGUUUUCCUGGAAAAAGCAGUAAUCUCGUGCACAGUGAUAUAGCACAACAAAUUGUGCAGUGUAUUGUCUGUCGGAAGGGUAAGGAAAGGAGGGGUUUUUUUGACAUUUUAAAGUUGAUGCGGCAGAGCACAACUUUACGUGUACGACUUGUCUUCUUUCUCUAUUACUCCAUGCAUGCAUCAUUGCAUCUUCCUUUUUCUUUUUCUUUUUUAAAUUGCCUUUUCCAUUGCUUCAACUUCUGGUAUUUCUGUUGGCCUCUUCUGCAGAUCUUUAAUACUGUAUUGCUUUCAUCCGUUUGUUUGAUUAAAAUAAAAACGAAAUAAA